ACCGCACGCAAUGAUGCAAGCUUGUAGUCCCAGCCACUCGGGAGGCUAAGACAGGAGGAUCACUUGAGUCCAGGAGUUCGGGGUUGUAGUGCAUGGUGCUGAUUGGGUGUCCACACUAAGUUCAGUGUCAAUAUAGUGACCUCCUGGGAGCUGGGGGCCACCAGAUUGCUUGAGGAGGGGUGAACUGGCCCAGGUCGGAAACAGAACAGGUUAAAACUCCCAUGGUGGUCAGUAGUGGGAUCGUGCCAGUGAAUAGCCACUGGGCUCCAGCCUGGGCAACAUAGGAAGACCCCAUCU
ensembl:misc_RNA Metazoa_SRP Metazoan signal recognition particle RNA